AUUGAACGCUGGCGGCAGGCUUAACACAUGCAAGUCGAGCGAGCGGCGGACGGGUGAGUAAUGUCUGGGAAACUGCCUGAUGGCGGGGGAUAACUACUGGACACGGUAGCUAAUACCGCAUACCAUCAGAUGUGCCCAGAUGGGAUUAGCUAGUAGGUGGGGUAAUGGCUCACCUAGGCGACGAUCGCUAGCUGGUCUGAGAGCAUGACCAGCCACACGGGAACUGAGACAAGGUCCAGACUCAUACGGGAGGAAGCAGUAGGGAAGAUUGCACAAUGGGCGCAAGCCUGAAGCAGCCAUGCCGCGUGUGUGAAGAAGGCCUUCGGGUUGUAAAGCACUUUCAGCGAGGAAGCGUUACUUGAAGAGGAAGCAACGGCUAACUCCGUGCCAGCCGCGGCGGUAAUUC
rnacentral:rRNA from 1 species